rnacentral:rRNA from 1 species
UUAGUGGCGGACGGGUGAGUAACGUGUGGGCAACCUGCCCUGUACUGGGGAAUAAUCAUUGGAAACGAUGACUAAUACCGCAUGUGGUCCUCGGAAGGCAUCUUCUGAGGAAGAAAGGAUUUAUUCGGUACAGGAUGGGCCCGCAUCUGAUUAGCUAGUUGGUGAGAUAACAGCCCACCAAGGCGACGAUCAGUAGCCGACCUGAGAGGGUGAUCGGCCACAUUGGGACUGAGACACGGCCCAAACUCCUACGGGAGGCAGCAGUGGGGAAUAUUGCACAAUGGGCGAAAGCCUGAUGCAGCAACGCCGCGUGAAGGAUGAAGGGUUUCGGCUCGUAAACUUCUAUCAAUAGGGAAGAAAGAAAUGACGGUACCUAAAUAAGAAGCCCCGGCUAACUACGUGCCAGCAGCCGCGGUAAUACGUAGGGGGCAAGCGUUAUCCGGAAUUACUGGGUGUAAAGGGUGCGUAGGCGGAACUGCAAGUCAGUGGUGAAAUCUGAGGGCUCAACCCUCAAACUGCCAUUGAAACUGUGGUUCUUGAGUGAAGUAGAGGUAGGCGGAAUUCCCGGUGUAGCGGUGGAAUGCGUAGAGAUCGGGAGGAACACCAGUGGCGAAGGCGGCCUACUGGGCUUUAACUGACGCUGAGGCACGAAAGCAUGGGUAGCAAACAGGAUUAGAUACCCUGGUAGUCCAUGCCGUAAACGAUGAUUACUAGGUGUGGGGGGUCUGACCCCCUCCGUGCCGGAGUUAACACAACAAGUAAUCCACCUGGGGAGUACGGCCGCAAGGUUGAAACUCAAAGGAAUUGACGGGGGCCCGCACAAGCAGUGGAGUAUGUGGUUUAAUUCGACGCAACGCGAAGAACCUUACCAGGUCUUGACAUCCAACUAACGAGGUAGAGAUACGUCAGGUGCCCUUCGGGGAAAGUUGAGACAGGUGGUGCAUGGUUGUCGUCAGCUCGUGUCGUGAGAUGUUGGGUUAAGUCCCGCAACGAGCGCAACCCUUGUGAUUAGUUGCUACGCAAGAGCACUCUAAUCAGACUGCCGUUGACAAAACGGAGGAAGGUGGGGAUGACGUCAAAUCAUCAUGCCCUUUAUGACCUGGGCUACACACGUACUACAAUGGCCGUAAACAGAGAGAGGCGACACCGCGAGGUGAAGCGAAACCCUAAAAACGGUCUCAGUUCGGAUUGUAGGCUGCAACCCGCCUACAUGAAGUUGGAAUUGCUAGUAAUCGCGGAUCAGCAUGCCGCGGUGAAUACGUUCCCGGGCCUUGCACUCACCGCCCGUCA